GGCGUGUGGCAGCACUCGUUGGGAAAAAAGGACGUCGACUUGAGGACAACAUUGGAGGGCAGUGGAUUUGGCGUGAGGCAAGUGAGAAGCAUCGUCGUGUGGGUGGGCAUAGUGUGGCGUCUUCGUGUCUAAUCAGGUACAGGUGCAGGUGAGUCCAAAGGAUGUCGUCAGGAUGGGUAAAAUAUAUCACAGGUGAGUAUCACAGUUGGUUAGAUCAGUCGGUAGUCGGCUUUGUCGUGGGAAGAUAUUAUUUAUAUAUUCAAUUGCAUGAGAUGCAGGAAGAAGAAGACAUGUAAACAAAGAAGAUUUCUGGACAGGAUUUAGGAGCAUAUCACAGAUUGAACAGGUCCCAGGUGUUGAUGGCGAUGGAUGGCCUUUUCGCAUGUGUCCUUACAUGGUCUGCGCGUUCGAGAAGAAGUUCGUCGAGUGGUGUGUACGAAGUGCAGAGAGUUAUAUUUUCGAGUGGGAGCAGGUCGCGUCAUCUUUAUUUUCGCAUGGAGAGCAGUGGAUCAUGUGAGUAAGGAUUUACGUAUUUUCCGUGUCCAUCUGUGAGUCAGGAAGAAAGUCGUCAGGUACUUGUAGGAGAGAGCCCAGAGAUCGUGCCAGAGAUGUCCGUAUGCAUGGUGUAGGAGCGUGGGCUUUCCUAUUGGCAUCUUUUGCUGGGAGCGCGGUUCCUCCUUGUGUCGUGGAGGAGGCGGUUUGCAGCAUUCAUUAUGGAGAGGGUAAACAUGCAGGAAUUUAUCUAAUUUGGUCUAGUCAGGUACGGAUACAUGUUCAAUUGCAUGGAGUGCAUGUAUAAAGGAAGACAUAUAAACAAAGAAGAUUUCUAGACGGGAUUUUAGACAUAUUAAAAAACAGCAUUGAGCAGGUCCUCAGUGUCAGUGGCAGGGGAAGGCGUUUGACGGCUGGGUGUUGUUCCAUGGUCCUGAGUUUAUUUGCCCUUUCUCCUUACGGGUUCAGCACGUUCGUAGAGGGGUUCGUCGGGCUAGUAACGUGUUCAUGUAGAGUCAACAGGUUUUUUUCCGAUAUAAGUGAGCGUCAUCAAGGAAAGAAUUUUUUUGUCUGAGUGUCUGGAUGAGUAGAAAUGUAGCGUGGGUUGCAGCGCAGUCAGGGGAUGUCCAAUUUAUUCGCCCCUAGGAUGGACUAAAUUUGGAUCAGGUCGCCGGCCAUUAGCAUGUCCAUUAGGGAUACGCUACUGCCAAGAGAAGAGGCACCCUUUUCCUUGUCAACCGA
rnacentral:sRNA from 1 species